rnacentral:ncRNA from 1 species
AGAACAACCGAGGGGUGCCAAACCUGAUGGUUUGGCUGAGAUCAUACCCUUAUGAGCGGAUCAUGGUAAUUUAUGCGUCGCGAUGUGUUUUCUUUUUUCG